rnacentral:rRNA from 1 species
UACGUAGGGUGCAAGCGUUGUCCGGAAUUAUUGGGCGUAAAGAGCUCGUAGGCGGUUUGUCGCGUCUGCUGUGAAAACUCGGGGCUUAACUCCGGGCCUGCAGUGGGUACGGGCAGACUAGAGUGCGGAAGAGGCGAGUGGAAUUCCUGGUGUAGCGGUGAAAUGCGCAGAUAUCAGGAGGAACACCAAUUGCGAAGGCAGCUCGCUGGGACGUAACUGACGCUGAGACGCGAGAGCGUGGGGAGCAAACCGG